rnacentral:rRNA from 1 species
UACGGAGGGUGCGAGCGGUAAUCGGAAUUACUGGGCGUAAAGGGUGCGUAGGUGGUUGAUUAAGUUAUCUGGGAAAUUCCUGGGCUUAACCUGGGACGGUCAGAUAAUACUGGUUGACUCGAGUAUGGGAGAGGGUAGUGGAAGUUCCGGUGUAGCGGUGAAAUGCGUAGAGAUCGGAAGGAACACCAGUGGCGAAGGCGGCUACCUGGCCUAAUACUGACACUGAGGCACGAAAGCGUGGGGAGCAAACAGG